rnacentral:lncRNA from 1 species
UGCAAAAAUAUGGACUAAUCAAACUUCCCCAUACCUAUCUUUUGCUCGUCCUCGAGUAAAAAUCAAAAGAAAAGAAAUAAACUAAGAAAACUAAAUGCGAUUCCUAGGCUCCUUUUCGUAGGCGUGACGGGUGAUUUUAGGUUCACCAACCCGUUAAACUCGUAGACGAUCUCUACAAGAGGAGUUUUGUCUCCUAAGGGUUUACAGAAGAUAUACCCAUAAAAUCUUCGAGACAUUCUAGCAAGUGUCUACUCGACUCUACUCUAAUUUCGUUGGUGUUAACAAAAAGCGUUUUUAAGGAAAAUACGACUUAAAGACUCAUCUACUAAUAAUCAAGAUACAGUUGUCUCUAAUCUACUUGCAUCGACACAAAGAUUUACUAGAAAUCCAAGGAGUGUAAGUAAUUUAAGGCCUUUGAUGGAUCCUAAUUGUCUAAGAACACUUUCUCUUUUUCAACCAAUUUUGAACUGACCCAAUCUCUAUCGAAACAAAUAUUUAGCCAAACUUCACAAACUCUUAUUCUUUUUUUUUUCUUUUUUUUCUUUUUUUUUUGCAUUGACUUUAUUUUGUCCGUUUUCUUAGGCAAACAAUGUUACCCAUGUUGCGAGCUUUAGGUUAGUGACUCCCAAACCAAACGGUCUUAGGGCACUAGGUUUUGAAAUCCCCCUACGGACUUAAUUGCUCGAGUAACAAAGGCCACAAAACGAGACUAGCCAAUCUACUUUUGCCCAUUUAUCUAAAGAUUUUAUCUAUAAAGAACAAUGGGUAUUGAAGUAGCUUAUUCCUUUUUCCUUUUUUUUGCUAUUUUUUAUUCGCAAAGGUUCGAUUCGACAUUGUUUCAACAUGUGGGUUCUCUCUCAGGUAUCGAAUAAUAUCACUAGGAAAUCUCUCCAUCAAAGGUCUUGUGCAAAGUGUGUGCCAUCUUGGAAUUUAGAGUACAAAUCGGUCGAUACAAGUUUCAUAAAGACAACCUUGUGUGUUGGGUAGAUCAUAGCCCUCCAUGUGCCCCCUUACUUGCCAACUCUUUUUUUCUUCUUUUCUUUUCUUUUUCUUCCCCUUUUUUGCACUUUCUCUUCUUUCUUUAUUUAUCUACAAUUUCCUGAAAUAAAAUAAAUAAGCGAUUAAUACUACGAAAAUAAACAAAAAAUAGGCACUUAAAUAUGCAAAAAUAUGGACUAAUCAAACUUCCCCAUACCUAUCUUUUGCUCGUCCUCGAGUAAAAAUCAAAAGAAAAGAAAUAAACUAAGAAAACUAGAUGCGAUUCCUAGGCUCCUUUUCGUAGGCGUGACGGGUGAUUUUAGGUUCACCAACCCGUUAAACUCGUAGACGAUCUCUACAAGAGGAGUUUUGUCUCCUAAGGGUUUACAGAAG